rnacentral:lncRNA from 1 species
UUCAAAAUGCCAUUACAGAGCGACUUCCCCCCUCUUUCCUUCUUUAAUAACGAGGAAUCACCGUGGACUCUCUGUGUCCUUUCUGCAGUAAUAAUGAUGAUACGUUAGAGCAUUUUUUGUGGAUCCACAUUUAUCGAAGGUUUGAUUCUUUGAAUAACUUGGUAUGUUAGCAUCUUUGGAGAGCAUGUCGUCCCUCAUUGGGUUGUUAAGUGGCUGCCGCAUAAGGCACAUGAGGACUUCAUCAAUGGAUGUAUGCAUGUAUUUAGUUCAAAAGGGUUAUUUAAGGGGCUAUAUGAUCUAUGAGUAUGAGUUGGUCUCAGGGUUUGAAAUUUGAAGCUUCAGGGAUUUCCAAAUAUGAUGAUGUUUUUGCAGAUGGAAAUGGGGAUUUCUCACGAGAUGGUUGUUGAAGAUGGGAUCUCCACCCAUCAUUUUUUUAUUCAUUGAGAUAUUUAUGUCAUAAAUAUGAAAGUCUAACCACUGAUCAUCUCCACUGUAAUUUGUUUCUUGUUAUCGUCAAAUUAUUCAGCAACAUUGAUAAGCACAAUGGGGUUUUUGCAUGAAAAUUUAUGAUCUUGAAGUGAUUUUUAGGUCCUUUUUUUAUGAGUAUUAAUUGC